UACGUAGGGCGCAAGCGUUAUCCGGAAUUACUGGGCGUAAAGCGCACGUAGGCGGGUCGUUAAGUCAGGGGUGAAAUCCCAGAGCUCAACUCUGGAACUGCCUUUGAUACUGGCGACCUAGAGUCCGGAAGAGGUUAGUGGAAUUCCCAGUGUAGAGGUGAAAUUCGUAGAUAUUGGGAAGAACACCAGUGGCGAAGGCGGCUAACUGGUCCGGUACUGACGCUGAGGUGCGAAAGCGUGGGGAGCAAACAGG
rnacentral:rRNA from 1 species